UACGUAGGGGGCGAGCGUUGUCCGGAUUUAUUGGGCGUAAAGAGCGUGUAGGCGGCCAGGUAGGUCUGCUGUGAAAACUCGAGGCUCAACCUCGAGACGUCGGCGGAAACCAUCUGGCUAGAGUCCGGAAGAGGAGAGUGGAAUUCCUGGUGUAGCGGUGAAAUGCGCAGAUAUCAGGAAGAACACCCGUGGCGAAGGCGGCUCUCUGGGACGGUACUGACGCUGAGGAGCGAAAGCUAGGGGAGCAAACGGG
rnacentral:rRNA from 1 species